rnacentral:rRNA from 1 species
ACUUCUGACCUAGCCAUACAUCUAUCUUGACACGUCUGAUCUCGGAAGCACGAUUGGACCUGGAUGGGAUCCGGCCUAGGAAUACUUGGGAGCUGUAUGUAGGCUUAGAAGAA